CCGCCGUCGGCCCCACGAAAAAUUCCCUUCCGUGCGUGCGUAAUAUGCAAGACACCGGCAAAGUCGGCAGCACUGCUAAAAAACCCUGGAAACCAAAGCAAAAUCCAACCGCCCGCUGCUGAGAAGCUCCAGUGGAGGAUUCCAUUGUCCUUUAAUUAUCCGUCUUCGUUUAAAUCCUCCUCUCCUUCCUUUUUUCCAAGAAAAACCCUAACCCAGUCCAAUGGAUGCCGGAGAAGUUCUCGACAGCCCAUCCACGACGCCGCCGCCGCCGCCGCCGCCAGCGGCGGCUUCUUCCGCGUCGCCUAGCUCGCCCCGUCUGAGUGGGCGAUCUGUACACCGUGCCCUCGGCGGCGGCGCAGUUGCCGAUGUGCUCCUCUGGAGGCGGAGGAACGCCGGGAUUCUCGGGGCGGCAGCCGCCACCGCCGUCUGGUUCCUCUUCGAACGGGCUGGGUACAGCUUCCUCUCUCUAAUGGCCAACGCGUUUCUCCUUCUCGUCGUUAUCCUCUUUUUCUGGGCCAAAUCAGCCUCCCUUCUCAACAGACCUCUUCCGCCCCUUCCCAAUCUAGAAGUUUCUGAGGUGUUCGUAGGGAAAGCUGCGGACGAGGCUCGGGUGUGGAUCAAUCGUGUGUUGGCUGUUGGACAUGAUAUUGCCAUUACAAGAGAUAGGAAGGUGUUUCUUCAGGUUACAUUGCUUUUGUGGCUUGUCUCAUAUAUCGGCAGUUUGUUUAACUUUCUUACACUAGUUUAUAUUGGGUUGCUUCUAUCUAUCACUCUUCCGGCAUUGUAUGAGAAGUACCAGGACCAUGUUGAUGAAAAGCUUGGUAUAGCACACAAAUUACUCUUGAAACAAUAUGACAACAUCCUAAGAAGGGGAACAAGAAAGCCAGCCGAAGAAAAGAAGACCCAGUAGCAUGAUAGUCAUGCUCUGUCGACUCUUAGCAUGUAAAUACUUGCACCUCAUGAUAAUAACAAUAUGCUACCUAUUUGGCAAAUGUGGUUGAGCUUACAUCCAAGGGACCCUGCAGAUGUGCAUGUUCAUUGGAUUUCUGUCAUCCAGCCAUCUGCAAAACCUUUAUUCAAGUCGACGAGUCCCCAUUUCUAAGGUUGCCCCCAUUAAUUUGACCAUGCAAUGAAGUACCCAAGGACACUAGCUGGAAAGGGUGCCAAAUCUUUUCAGGUGUGGAAGGAACCCUCUUUCUGGAAUAUUUUUGUUUUCUGCGCAUAUUGUAGUGGGCGUCUCUGCCAAUAUCUCAAUGUAUAAACGUUUGAUGUUAAGUAGUCAGCACGUUUACUCACAUGCGUCAACUAGUUUGAACAGAAAGAUUAAUUGCGCGGGCAUUAUGAAAGUUUUGUUUGCGACUUGGAUUUAUGAAUUUCUCAUUAGAUGAAUGAAAACUUUGUAUCUCGGUAA